GCACUGCUGAGGAGUCCCACAAUAGGACGAAACGGCCGUCCAGUAU
rfam:Schistosoma mansoni strain Puerto Rico chromosome 1, complete genome